UACGUAGGUGACAAGCGUUGUCCGGAUUUACUGGGCGUAAAGAGCGCGCAGGCGGUCGAUCAAGUCGAGUGUGAAAGCCCCCGGCUCAACUGGGGAGGGUCAUUCGAUACUGAUCGACUCGAAGGCAGGAGAGGGUAGUGGAAUUCCCGGUGUAGUGGUGGAAAUGACGUAGAUAUCGGGAGGAACACCAGCGGCGAAGGCGGCCACCUGGACGGAUACUGACGCUGAGACGCGAAAGCGUGGGGAGCAAACAGG
rnacentral:rRNA from 1 species